CAAAGAGCCCUGACACACAAUACCAUCUAUAAAUUUAAUGGCACGACAAAAAAUUUUAUCUUUAUGACACUUAAAUCCAAUUUGCAUAAUAAUUUGGAACACGGUGUAAAAGGAAAGCAUACAUUUUUCCCCACAAAGAAAAUAAAAUAAAACAACAAACACAACAUUCAGUCUGUUACAGUAUUAUGUUUUCAGGCUUGAUGUUUGAUGUUUAUUUUGUGAGGUAGUUCUUUAUUUGGAGAGGUGUGUACAAGACUGACAUGACACUAUCAUAAACAUAACACCUGUGAACAUGAAUAUUCAUGAUGUCUUUAAGGCUGCGUUAACAGCCUUAAAAACUGUGAAUGCACAGUUCAUAUUCUUUUCGAAUGCGACCCAGGCCACUUGCAUAUCCGAUACGUAUCCGAUUGAAAUGAUUCAAACCUAACGUUCAGGUCAAAUUCAUCCGAACUGAAUGUGACUGAUACUCAACAACUCUCAUUAUUCUGCGCCCUGAUGCGUGCAAGCAGGAAGAAUAACAACAAUCAUGACGGACUAUAAUGAGGAUUAAGUUGUUAAUAUGCUGCUCCGGCUGGACAAAAAUUUCAAUUAAAGCCACAAGCGGCGUCAGGUGGCCCUCGCAGCUCAGCGCUGCUCCGGCCUAUUGGCGACCGCAAGGGUUCCAGCACCGCCGCCUGCUGUAAGAACACUUACAGGUCACAUAUGUGUGGCAGUGUGAACGACCCCGGCAAAAAAACCCGAUUUGACAAAAAAUCGGAAUUGGGGCACUUCAGACCGUAUUCUCAGUAAAUAAUGGCGCUUUUAAAGCAAAGUUGACAUUGUUAAAAAUGUCUGACAACUUGACAUUAACAAAGACAAACACUCUUUGACAACUUGACAUUAAACAAGAAUAAUCAUGUCACAAAUGUCAUGUGACCAGUAGGGGGGAGGAUCUUUUUAAAGUUCUGUAGAAGAUGCACCGGAAAACAGACUGAAUAGUACACAAUAUUUUAUUAAACAAUUUCCUUAAAACAUUUCUCUUUUUAAAAACAUUGCUUCAGGCCUACUACUCGGUCCCUGGAAAGAAAAGGUGUAACAAGACAAGACAGCAGAGCGUCCAAAGCGCUGCAGCUCCAAAACAAUCAUCCGCCUAAAACAGAAAACUCAUUAACUGUGGAUUCAGGUAAAGUAAAUUUAAACAGCAGGUAGCUUACCCAGGAGCGGAAACAGCCUACCUAGGGAGGGAGCGGAUCAGCAGGUGAGGACUAGAUGGAAGCUGCACGCCGCAACAACCUCCAACUGCAGCCGCUAACGCCAGCAGAGCAACGCUGCAGAAAUGCACGGCAGGUAUAGCACCCAAAACCCAACCACAAUCCCAGCCACAGAUGGUACAAGUGGCACUAACGAUCUCAGAUGAGCCGAUCAAGCACAAAGGCCACUCAGGCAGCCGACAUGUAGCAGGAGAAACAAAGACAAUCACACCUUGCAGCGGCCUGCUCCACUAUACAGCCAUCUGCCCCGCCCACCAAUCAGUGGUGCACUUCUGGCUGCACCUGGUGCGCAGGGUGGGGAGGGUGGAACACCAUCCCACCACAAUAAGUAUUAUCAAAAUGACAAUAGUUAUGUACCUCUAUAAUUACAUUACCUUGCCAUUUGUUGUUAGUCUUGACUGUGACUGUCAUGAGACAAUUUUGUCAUUAAUAUUUCCCCGUACCUCAAAUAAAGUAGCAAGUAUCAACAGUUAUAAAUAUCAUUAAGUGUUAUUACAGUAACAAAUGCUGUAAUAACUGAGUCAUUAAUAUUCUAUUUACCUAAAGUAAAGUGGAAUGCAUUGGACUAGUUAUAACCACCAGUUUAGUUUUAGAAUAAACAGUUUAAGAAAUAACAAGUAAUACUUUGUUUUAUUCCACAGGGUUUAGCUUCCGAUUCAGCUUAUUGUAACUCUGAAAUAUUGUAUCCUUUCACUUGAGAAAAAGUUGUUUCAACAGUCCUAACUCUAAGUGUACUUAUACAUUAUUGGGAGGAGUUCUCUACUUUUUUUAUGUCAAUGUCAAAUUUAUUUAUAUAGCACUUUAAAAACAGGUUUAAAACUGCACCAAAGUGCUGUUCAAAAACCAUAAUAAAAUAAGUUGAUGAAAAGAAAAAGAGAAAUAUUACAAGAAAAGAAAAAUAAAUCUCUAUAUAUUUUUGGAUCGUGUCAGCCAUCUCCUUUUUCGUAGCCUUUCUGUAGCGCUCUGCAAACUGGGAUAUCUCCUCAUUGUCUAUGUUUCCUGGAAGCACCUUUUUGAAGGUGUCCUGAAAUGUGAUCAUGGCUGGUCCUCGUUAGCAUCCUCCACAUCUGGUAGCAUGUCCUCAUUAGCGGCUUUUGUAAUUUAGCUACAAUGAGUCUUCAUGUGGCUAAAGUUGGCAAAGCAAAGAACACAAGCACCAUGUCAUAUCAGCCAAGUGUGUUUUAUUGUUUCUCAAUAGAACACACAAAGGGCAAAUUUGUUUGAUAUAGUACCUCAAAAGUUGCCAGAUUUAAGAUUUAAUGCGCUAUGUUUACAGCAUGACAGCUAAAACCAAUGGUAGUCAUCAUAGGCAAGCUUUUUACUUUAUUUAUUUUUUUGCCCUCCAGCUGAAAACUGGGGCAUGGGUUCUUGCGUGUAAAAUAUUUGACAAUUCUGGGCCUUUUUCAGAUUGUCCUCUUCCAUUUUUCUCUGAUACCAAUCAGAGGGAUGCUGUGCAACUGCAAUCACUGUUCCCUGUGAAACACAUGACUGUUCGACAAUAUGCACAUUAACAUGAAAUAAAGCACUGAGUCUGAAAUUUUGCUUAAACAAUUUUAUUUAUUAGAAUGCCUUAAAGAAGUUGUUGUAUGACUCACUGGCUGCUUCACAAUGCCUUAAAACCAAAGGCAUGUUGCUAUGGAGAGAAAAUUCUCAAAAUAUCUGUGGAUUUGUAAAUUGUGUAAGCCUGUUUGUGUAUUGCUUUGGAUAUUUUUAUGUGUAAAACAUGAUUUGUAAGUCACAAAAAACAUUGCAUGACUUUGGUAACUUUGACAUGUUUUUUCCAAUGCCCACACGAAUAUCAAGAAAUUAUCAAUACAAAAUACAUUUACACACACAAUUGUGUUACAACUAUUGAGUACU